CCUACGGGAGGCUGCAGUGGGGAAUCUUGCACAAUGGGGGAAACCCUGAUGCAGCGACGCCGCGUGGAGGAUGACGGAUUUAGGUCUGUAAACUCCUUUUGCAGGGAAAGACUUAGGACGGUACCCUGAGAAUAAGGACCGGCUAACUACGUGCCAGCAGCCGCGGUAAGACGUAGGGUCCGAGCGUUGUCCGGAUUUACUGGGCGUAAAGAGCGCGUAGGCGGUCUGUUAAGUGUGAAGUGAAAUCUCCAGAGCUCAACUCGGAAACUGCUUUACAUACUGGCAGACUUGAGGAAUGCAGAGGUGAAUAGAAUUCCUGGUGUAGCGGUGAAAUGCGUAGAUAUCAGGAGGAAUACCCAUGGCGAAGGCAGUUCACUGGGCAUUAUCUGACGCUGAGGCGCGAAAGCGUGGGUAGCAAACAGGCUUAGAUACCCUAGUAGUC
rnacentral:rRNA from 1 species